CAUCCCGCGAGAGACGUCUCCUCAACUGGAAGAUCUGCUGCUGGGGCUGCUCCAGAGGAACCAGAAGGAUCGGAUGGAUUUUGACACUUUUUUCAGUCAUCCUUUCUUGGAACCGACAUCAACUAUUAAAAAAUCAUGCCCUGUGCCAGUGCCUACGUGCUCUGGCUUGGUCACAGACAGCACGUGUGGCAGCUCU